UUUGUUGUCAACAUAAAGUGAUUAGCUUUGCUGUCUAAAGUGCUCCAUCAAAGUAUCACUAACUUCACCUUUCUAUCAGUUAUCAAACUACAUUUUAAGUUAUGACUUGCACAAUCACAC